AGAGGCCCAAGUUGAUAAAUGCCGGCGUAAAGUGUGGUUAGGAAAACUACUCUAAAGUUGAACGCCCCCAGAACUGUUAUACGCACCCGGGAGCAGGAAACCCGACUGCGAAAGUGACUUUAAACCUCCGACCCCACGACAGCUAAGGUACAAACUGGGAUUAGAUACCCCAUUAUGCUUAGCCGUAAACUUUGAUAGUAUUGCACAACCUCUAUCCGCCCGGGAACUACGAGCGCUA
rnacentral:rRNA from 1 species